UACGGAGGAUGCGAGCGUUAUCCGGAUUUAUUGGGUUUAAAGGGUGCGUAGGCGGGAUGCCAAGUCAGCGGUAAAAAUGCGGUGCUCAACGCCGUCGAGCCGUUGAAACUGGCGUUCUUGAGUGGGCGAGAAGUAUGCGGAAUGCGUGGUGUAGCGGUGAAAUGCAUAGAUAUCACGCAGAACUCCGAUUGCGUAGGCAGCAUACCGGCGCCCUACUGACGCUGAGGCACGAAAGCGUGGGUAUCGAACAGG
rnacentral:rRNA from 1 species